CAGCCCCCACCCCAACCCGUCGUGAGGAGGGGGCGUGGCUCUCCAGAUUUUAGCUCCGGCCAGCCUCGGGAUACCCACCCCAGCCCCAACCUGAGCCACCGCGCAGAGGAAUGAAAUGCUUUAUUGAUUAAACGAUUAUUCAGGCGAUUGAACUAAUCAAAGGGCCCAUCGACCGCCGUGAAUUACAUUCUUCGUAGACCGUAGACCGCUAGUUGGGAAAGGCGCCCGGUUGGCCCGCGCAGACCGCGUCCAGACCCUCAGCCGCCUCCCACCCAGCUUCGGCAGGGUUGGCCACCAAGUCAAGAGCCAGUCCAGUGCCCUUUCUUCACCCUCU
rnacentral:lncRNA from 1 species